rnacentral:rRNA from 1 species
AACGUAGGAGACUAGCGUUAUCCGGAUUUACUGGGCGUAAAGCGUGCGCAGGCGGUUCGUUGUGUCUGAUGUGAAAGCCCCGGGCUCAACCUGGGAAUGGCAUUGGAAACUGGCGAGCUGGAGUGUGGCAGAGGGGGGUGGAAUUCCGCGUGUAGCAGUGAAAUGCGUAGAGAUGCGGAGGAACACCGAUGGCGAAGGCAGCCCCCUGGGCCAACACUGACGCUCAGGCACGAAAGUGUGGGGAGCAAACGGG